GUGGUGCAUGCGCCGACGACGACGAUGACAAGCGGCGCAUACCGACGGGGCCUAACCCUCUGCACAACAGAUAGCUAGCUGAUCGUGCAUGCAGCCCAGCAAGAUCCAUCAAUCCUAUAAGACGAGAGGAGCAAGCAACGAGAAAUGCAAUGCAAGCCAAGCCACCAGAGUUCAGGGCUUUCUUGGUACUUACGAGCGAGCUCAUCAUCAUCUCCUACCACCCUCUGUUCUGUUCUGUUCACCACGGACAUGGACCAGAAGACACGAUAGCGAUCGGCAGUAGUGGUUGAGCUUCAGGAGUUGCGAAAACUCUCUGGACGCUGUCGUCCAUUAAUUUCCUCCUCUUCUUUUUUUUGUUCUUCCCGAGCUUUUCGUCUGCCAGCACCGGGUGUAUAUUCUUCCUAGCUAGCUGCGCUGCG
rnacentral:lncRNA from 1 species